CUAAGAGGGAGUUGAGGCUCGGAGGCACACUUUCUAAAUAAGAGGGUAAAUGGCAAAACAAGAGCCUCCCCUGACUAAAGACCUCAAGGCCCAGAACAGGAGACCAUUACCAAAGGAGGAGCCUUGGUUGUGCCCCUCUGGCUCAGAUACCAACUGUGUAGCUCCUAGGAUAAGGACAACGUUUGCAUCCGGCAGCAUCUUACUGCCCACCAGCACCUCCUGAGAUGAGUCUACAUGGCGAGGACCACGGAGACAGGGUUAUCAACUCAUCCAUCAUGUUCCACCCCAAGUUCUCGUUGGAAGGCCAUCCUCCCUGGAGCUCUCAGUGUUCCUGAAACUUCUGGACCUUUCUGAGAAACAGAGAGUGACAUGCUAAAAAGAUAAAGAAUGCCUCCUUUUCUCCAGAACCAUUUGCUUGCAUUCCAAAGGAUUUCAAAACCCCAGAGACCUUCCUCUCCUUUCCCCAGAGUGGAUUUGUGUUUGCCUUGGAGAUCAAAGGCUUUCUCUCUGCCUCCAGAAUGGGUGAGAGGCCCAGACAUGACAGCAGCAUCUGGUUGUGCUCUGAGAUGAAUCAUUUCCAAGCUUUUGCCUGUGGUAUGGAGGCCCAUAUGUGCAGGGUACAUCUGGGUCACACUGUGCUGCCCUGUGGGAAAUUGAGGGAUGGGGAAUUGGCAAUUGGACUGCUAGUCAAGCAAAUAAUUGGUUUGUUUUCUGAUCCAAAAACCUUGUGUUUCCAGACGGGAUAAAUCAAUGAAUAUAGAUAUAAAAACCAAACAGAUGUCUUCUCCUAGUCCAUAGCUUGUCUUUUCCCAUUGUUUGUGUUGUCUUUUUAAAAACGUGGUGGCAAAAUAUACAUACAAAAAAUUUA